rnacentral:rRNA from 1 species
AUGAGCCUCUUCCGCGCAUGUACCUCUAUUACGCUGGGCAACGGGCAGAAGACUUUGUUCUGGCAUGACAAUUGGACUGGUGAAGGUCCGCUCAAGCUCCUCGCUCCAGAGCUCUACAAGAUUGCCUCAAGAAAAAACAGAUCGGUGCACAACGAGCUCAUGAACGAGAACUGGAUUAGGGCGGUGGCCAAACUGCAGACCAUUCAGCAGCUAGGUGAAUUCGUGUCUCUCUGGAACCACAUUAGCUGGAACUUAACCACCUCGGGGACUUACUCGGCCGCCUCUGCCUACGGCGCGCAGUUCUUCGGCUCCUACUCACGUUUUGACACGACCAAGGUCUAG